AUUGAACGCUGGCGGCAUGCCUUACACAUGCAAGUCGAACGGUAAAAGUAGCAAUACUUUGAGAGUGGCGAACGGGUGAGUAAUGCAUCGGAACAUGCCCAACUGUGGGGGAUAACGUAGCGAAAGUUACGCUAAUACCGCAUACGAUCUACGGAUGAAAGCGGGGGACCGUAAGGCCUCGCGCAGUUGGAGUGGCCGAUGUCAGAUUAGCUAGUUGGUAGAGUAAAAGCCUACCAAGGCAACGAUCUGUGGCUGGUCUGAGAGGACGACCAGCCACACUGGGACUGAGACACGGCCCAGACUCCUACGGGAGGCAGCAGUGGGGAAUUUUGGACAAUGGACGAAAGUCUGAUCCAGCAAUGCCGCGUGCAGGACGAAGGCCUUCGGGUUGUAAACUGCUUUUGUACGGAACGAAAGGAUCUUUUUUAAUAAAAAAGAUUUAUGACGGUACCGUAAGAAUAAGCACCGGCUAACUACGUGCCAGCAGCCGCAGUAA
rnacentral:rRNA from 1 species